AUUGAACGCUGGCGGCAUGCCUUACACAUGCAAGUCGAACGGCAGCACGGGAGCAAUCCUGGUGGCGAGUGGCGAACGGGUGAGUAAUAUAUCGGAGCGUGCCCAGUCGUGGGGGAUAACGCAGCGAAAGCUGUGCUAAUACCGCAUACGAUCUCUGGAUGAAAGCGGGGGACCGUAAGGCCUCGCGCGAUUGGAGCGGCCGAUAUCAGAUUAGCUAGUUGGUGGGGUAAAGGGCCACCAAGGCGACGAUCUGUACCUGGUCUGAGAGGAGGACCAUCCACACUGGAACUGAGACACGGUCCAGACUCCUCCGGGAGGCAGCAGUGGGGAAUUUUGGACAGUGGGCGCAAGCCUGAUCCAGCAAUGCCGCGUGCAGGAUGAAGGCCUUCGGGUUGUAAACUGCUUUUGUACGGAACGAAACGGCGAGCUCUAAUAAAGUUUGCUAAUGACGGUACCGUAAGAAUAAGCACCGGCUAACUACGUGCCAGCAGCCGCCGUAA
rnacentral:rRNA from 1 species